GAGGUUGUAGCUCAGUGGCAGAGUGCUUGCCUAGCAUGCAUGAGGCACUGGGUUCGAUCCUCAGCACCACA
rnacentral:tRNA from 1 species